rnacentral:rRNA from 1 species
CCCGCCGGCGACCGGCGCACGGGUGAGUAACACGUAUGCAACCUGGCCGCCACAGGGGGAUAACCCGCGGAAACCGCGGCCUAAUACCCCGUGACGCCACCGGAGGGCAUCCUCCGGUGGCCAAAGGAGCGAUCCGGUGGCGGAUGGGCAUGCGGCGCAUUAGCUAGACGGCGGGGUGACGGCCCACCGUGGCGACGAUGCGUAGGGGUUCUGAGAGGAAGGCCCCCCACACUGGGACUGAGACACGGCCCAGACUCCUACGGGAGGCAGCAG